GUCGAGCGGAUGAAGGGAGCUUGCUCCUGGAUUCAGCGGCGGACGGGUGAGUAAUGCCUAGGAAUCUGCCUGGUAGUGGGGGAUAACGUCCGGAAACGGGCGCUAAUACCGCAUACGUCCUGAGGGAGAAAGUGGGGGAUCUUCGGACCUCACGCUAUCAGAUGAGCCUAGGUCGGAUUAGCUAGUUGGUGGGGUAAAGGCCUACCAAGGCGACGAUCCGUAACUGGUCUGAGAGGAUGAUCAGUCACACUGGAACUGAGACACGGUCCAGACUCCUACGGGAGGCAGCAGUGGGGAAUAUUGGACAAUGGGCGAAAGCCUGAUCCAGCCAUGCCGCGUGUGUGAAGAAGGUCUUCGGAUUGUAAAGCACUUUAAGUUGGGAGGAAGGGCAGUAAGUUAAUACCUUGCUGUUUUGACGUUACCAACAGAAUAAGCACCGGCUAACUUCGUGCCAGCAGCCGCGGUAAUACGAAGGGUGCAAGCGUUAAUCGGAAUUACUGGGCGUAAAGCGCGCGUAGGUGGUUCAGCAAGUUGGAUGUGAAAUCCCCGGGCUCAACCUGGGAACUGCAUCCAAAACUACUGAGCUAGAGUACGGUAAAGGGUGGUGGAAUUUCCUGUGUAGCGGUGAAAUGCGUAGAUAUAGGAAGGAACACCAGUGGCGAA
rnacentral:rRNA from 1 species